rnacentral:rRNA from 1 species
GGGCAUAAACUGCAGUCGAGCGAGCUUGCCUAGAUGAUUUUAGUGCUUGCACUAAAUGAAACUAGAUACAAGCGAGCGGCGGACGGGUGAGUAACACGUGGGUAACCUGCCCAAGAGACUGGGAUAACACCUGGAAACAGAUGCUAAUACCGGAUAACAACACUAGACGCAUGUCUAGAGUUUGAAAGAUGGUUCUGCUAUCACUCUUGGAUGGACCUGCGGUGCAUUAGCUAGUUGGUAAGGUAACGGCUUACCAAGGCAAUGAUGCAUAGCCGAGUUGAGAGACUGAUCGGCCACAUUGGGACUGAGACACGGCCCAAACUCCUACGGGAGGCAGCAGUAGGGAAUCUUCCACAAUGGACGAAAGUCUGAUGGAGCAACGCCGCGUGAGUGAAGAAGGGUUUCGGCUCGUAAAGCUCUGUUGGUAGUGAAGAAAGAUAGAGGUAGUAACUGGCCUUUAUUUGACGGUAAUUACUUAGAAAGUCACGGCUAACUACGUGCCAGCAGCCGCGGUAAUACGUAGGUGGCAAGCGUUGUCCGGAUUUAUUGGGCGUAAAGCGAGUGCAGGCGGUUCAAUAAGUCUGAUGUGAAAGCCUUCGGCUCAACCGGAGAAUUGCAUCAGAAACUGUUGAACUUGAGUGCAGAAGAGGAGAGUGGAACUCCAUGUGUAGCGGUGGAAUGCGUAGAUAUAUGGAAGAACACCAGUGGCGAAGGCGGCUCUCUGGUCUGCAACUGACGCUGAGGCUCGAA